rnacentral:rRNA from 1 species
AUGGGUGGUAAUCUGCUUCUACUUUCUGUAUGGAGCUGGGAGCGUCUACCUAUUGGACCCCCAAAGAGCGUCAGGUUUAAUCCUUGGUAUGAAGAUGAACAUGACGAAUUACGGCGCCCCACUUGGGCUUACAAGUGGGAUGUGGUUUCCGAGAUGACGAACGAUGUCAAUCUCAUGUACCAAAAGUACAUUGCCGAGUUGGACAUGAUUACGCCUGAGAAGGUAAGGAGGUCAUUACUUCAGUCCUUUCUCAUGCUUGCUUGA